GGGGGGGGGGGGGGGGGGGGGGAAAAAAAAAAAAAAAAAAAAAAAAUCUAGUUUCCUCCUCACCUGUAGGGACAAACCAGACAUCACAGAUGAAUGCUGCAGCCAGCCAGCUUUUCCAAGCAGGAGCAGCCAUGGUUAAAGCAAGCUGACAUUCCACUGCUCCAGAGGGGACUCAUCAGUCAGGAGACAGCACACAUGAAAAUAAACAUAUGUGAUGCAAAAGCUACAGCAGAUGAAGUUACAGCCUGC
rnacentral:lncRNA from 12 species